rnacentral:antisense_RNA from 1 species
CCUGGCUGGAUCCUGGAGAGCAUGAUCCCAUUAUGAAGGGAAAGCUUGUUGAGUCCUAACAGAUGUUUUGGAGUUUCCAGCAUGAAAGGCUAUAGAGGGAAACUCUUGGACAGUCUAGCUCUGCCACAGGUUCCCUAGCACCCAAGAAAAAUACUGACCUUCACAGGAGUCACAUGUCCAACCCAAGAGAAAAAGAUAUGAUCUAGAACUACCAGGGGCCAGAAAUUAGAUCUGCUUUUUUCUUGGCUGCAUCCAGAGAAAGUUACUACAGCUUUGCUAAAAUGGUGUGAACACGGAUGAUGGGCUUCUAGAAUCACAUAAGAGAAGUAGGUCAAUGGCUUACAACUGCUGGCCGGUGAUUAUUCUUUCACGAGUGCCCAGGGGGAAAACAAAACAAACAAACAAAAACAGGCAAAAGCUACAGGCACAUGCUUGCUAAAUUUAUAUUACUUUUUAUUGUUGUAUUGUUAUUUUUUAUUGUGUUUCCCCCCACCCACCCCCAAACAUUUUUGAUGCAUUGUUUGUUGAAUUUAUGGAUGUGGAGCUGCGAAUAUGGAGGGCCGGCUGGUUGGGAGCUGUACAGCAUGAGCCACUUAUUCAUAGGGGUUUGGGAAACAGCUGGAGGCAAAGAGAAGUCUCUCCCUUAGGCAUUUAGCCAUACGGACUGAAUAUCUACAAAUUGUAAGAUGUUCUGGUAGGUACUGGAAACAAAACAAUAAGCAAGACAGCCAUGCAGACUUGCUCUCAUGCAGCUUAAGAGUCUAAUGAGAGAAGCAGAUAAACAAUCACACACACAUGGAUACACAUGAUUACAAACUGCUGUAAGAUUCUGGUGAAGGAAAGGAAUGUGGCCAUAG